rnacentral:rRNA from 1 species
AAUAUUGCACAAUGGGGGAAACCCUGAUGCAGCCAUGCCGCGUGUGUGAAGAAGGCCUUCGGGUUGUAAAGCACUUUCAGUGGUGAGGAAAGGCAGGAACCUAAUACGUUUUUGCUGUGACGUUAACCACAGAAGAAGCACCGGCUAACUCCGUGCCAGCAGCCGCGGUAACACGGAGGGUGCAAGCGUUAAUCGGAAUAACCGGGCGGAAAGCGCAAGCCGGCCGUUUGGUAAAGCAGAUUGGAAAGCCCCGAGCUUCACUCCGGAACUGGCAUUGGAACUGGCAAACUAGAGUCUUGUAGAGGGGGGUAGAAUUUCCAGUGUAGCGGUAAAAUGCGUAGAGAUUGGAAGGAAUACCAGUGGCGAAGGCGGCCCCCUGGACAAAGACUGACGCUCAUGUGCGAAAGCGUGGGGAGCAAAC